GAUGAAAGUGCUCAAAGGUCAUCAGAGGAUAGUGAGAAUGCCUCUGAGAAUGCUGGUGUAUCUGGAAGUGAAUCUGGUGAUGGUGAAGAUUGCUCUCGAGAGGAAGAUGGAGAGCAUGAUGAACAUGAUAAUAAAGCUGAAAGUGAAGGUGAAGCUGAAGGGAUGGCUGAUGCCCAUGAUGUUGAAGGAGAUGGAACAAUGUUGCCAUUUUCAGAGCGUUUUCUUCUAAAUGUGAAGCCUUUAGCAAAGCAUGUCCCUCCAGCAUUACACGACAAAGAAAAGGAUUCUCGGGUUUUCUAUGGAAGUGAUUCUUUCUAUGUGCUUUUUAGGCUUCACCAAACAUUGUAUGAGAGAAUACA
rnacentral:misc_RNA from 1 species